AGUGAACGCUGGCGGCAUGCCUAACACAUGCAAGUCGAACGGCAGCACGGUAAGCGCUUGCUCUUACGGGUGGCGAGUGGCGGAUGAGUGAGGAAUACAUCGGCAUCUACUUUUUCUUGGGGGAUAACGUCGGGAAACUUACGCUAAUACCGCAUACGACCAACGGGUGAAAUCAGGGGAUCUUCGGACCUUGCGCGAUUGAAUGAGCCGAUGUCGGAUUAGCUAGUUGGCGGGGUAAAGGCCCACCAAGGCGACGAUCCGUAGCUGGUCUGAGAGGAUGAUCAGCCACACUGGAACUGAGACACGGUCCAGACUCCUACGGGAGGCAGCAGUGGGGAAUAUUGGACAAUGGGCGCAAGCCUGAUCCAGCCAUACCGCGUGGGUGAAGAAGGCCUUCGGGUUGUAAAGCCCUUUUGUUGGGAAAGAAAAGCAGCAGGUUAAUACCCCGCUGUUCUGACGGUACCCAAAGAAUAAGCACCGGCUAACUUCGUG
rnacentral:rRNA from 1 species